rnacentral:tRNA from 1 species
GGGCCCAUAGCUCAGCGGGAGAGCGCCUGCCUUGCAAGCAGGAGGUCUCGGGUUCAAAUCCCGAUGGGUCCA